GAUGAACGCUAGCGGCAGGCCUAACACAUGCAAGUCGAGGGGCAACAUAGGAAAGCUUGCUUUUCUGAUGACGACCGGCGCACGGGUGCGUAACGCGUAUACAACCUACCUUUUAGCGGGGAAUAGCCCAGGGAAACUUGGGUUAAUGCCCCAUAGUAUAUAGACUUCUCCUGAAGUUUAUAUUAAACAUUUAUGGCUAUUAGAUGGGUAUGCGUCCUAUUAGUUAGUUGGUAAGGUAACGGCUUACCAAGGCAGCGAUAGGUAGGGGUCCUGAGAGGGAGAUCCCCACACUGGUACUGAGACACGGACCAGACUCCUACGGGAGGCAGCAGUGAGGAAUAUUGGACAAUGGGCGAGAGCCUGAUCCAGCCAUGCCGCGUGCAGGAAGACUGCCCUAUGGGUUGUAAACUGCUUUUACAGAGGAAGAACCACCCCCACGUGUGGGGGUUUGACGGUACUCUGCGAAUAAGGAUCGGCUAACUCCGUG
rnacentral:rRNA from 1 species